CACGGAGUUAGCCGGUGCUUAUUCAUACGGUACCGUCAGUUACCCCCGCAGGGGCGUUUUCUUCCCGUAUAAAAGCAGUUUACAACCCAGAAGGCCUUCUUCCUGCACGCGGCAUGGCUGGGUCAGCCUCGCGGCCAUUGCCCAAUAUUCCCUACUGCUGCCUCCCGUAGGAGUCUGGUCCGUGUCUCAGUACCAGUGUGGGGGACCAUCCUCUCAGAACCCCUAGCCAUCGUAGCCUUGGUGGGCCUCUACCCCGCCAACUAGCUAAUGGCACGCAUGCCCAUCUUCCACCGCCGAAACUUUGACAGCCGGGUGAUGCCACCCGACUGUGUCAUGCGGUAUUAAUCCCGGUUUCCCGGGGCUAUCCCCCUGUCGGAAGGUAGGUUGCAUACGCGUUACGCACCCGUGCGCCACUAAUAUGGAAACCGAAGUCCCCAUAUCCGUUCGACUUGCAUGUAUUAGGCCUGCCGCUAGCGUUCAUCCUGAGCCAGGAUCAAACUCU
rnacentral:rRNA from 1 species